rnacentral:lncRNA from 1 species
UUGCUGGACCUACAGCUUGUCAAGUAGCAGGCAUCUUGAGCCCCAAGUGCGCAUGCAAAUCAUAUUUAGGAGACUAAGAAACAGUGAUGCAAGGAUAUAUAGGUGAUGGGACAAAGGAGUCAUUGAUGGGGACAUCAGAGCUGAUCAUCCUUCUGUUUAGUCCCCUAUUUUAUUUGCCUUUUAUUUCUGGGUUUGUUUGCAAUUUUAUUAUUGUAGGACUUUAUUUGUGUAUUUUGGGCUUAUUGGAAAUUAUUUUGUAUAAUGAGGUUUUAUUUUAAUUGUUCUUAUUUGGGCCCUAUUUAUAAGGGACUUCUAUGAUGAUUAGGGUUAAUGAAGGAUUAAGAAUUUUUCCCCCACGUCUCCCUCUUCUCUCUUCCUCCUUCUCUUUCUCCCUCUUCUCCUCCUCUCUGCCGUUCUUCCUCUCCUC